UGGCAGGUGGCCGCGGUUACACGCGCAUGGGUUUGAGAGAGAGAGCAUCAGCUCAACUCCGUUAAGGAUCAAAGAUGAAAGAGUCCCUCAAAGUCUACAGCUACGAUUGGAGACACACCUGGUGGACGUGUCUGAAUUCAUUUGGAUGGCUGUUGACACUGCUCCCAAAGCAGCUAAUGGAGGCCUGGAUCUUGAACCAGAAGAGGAUGUGUCAGGACUGAAGAUUCAGAGCUGCAUCGAGUAAAAAAUGUCUCACCAUUCUGGAUGUAAAUCUACAGCUAAUAGAGGAUAUUCCAAAUUCGCUGGGCUUAGAUGUUGAACCAGUAGAGUGCAUCUUAGUCUUAUAGAGUCAGCAGUGGAAGACUCUUGGUUAGUUG